GCAUUAAUGGGGUAGUGGUAACCUGGGUCGUUGCCAUAAGCGAGAUGUAUUAGGCGGAUUUCUCGACCCGCCGGGGGUUCGAUUCCCUCUUAAUGCA